CUCCUUCCGGGUGUGUGCCGGCCUGUGCACCCCCAGAGUCCUGCCUCAGCCCCCACCUUGCCACGCUGUAUUCUCCCAGCAUCUCUGGCAGGGCUGGAGAUUAACAGGGGAUGGUGGGGCUGGGGGCCCCCCCAGGAGCAAUGCCCACAGCUCUCCGGACUCGAUGGACAAUGGCAGGCCUAACUUUGGGAGCCAGCCACCUUCAACAGCACCACCUGAAAUGAGAGACCACUGUCUAACUGAACUGACCUAUUCUCAAGAUUGAGACUGGUUUCAGAAACAAUAUAUAACUCUAAUGUCUUACUGGGUCCUUUUCCUAAUACUUCAACCUAAAAAUUGGCACAAAUAUUGAGCUGGUUAUAAGACCCGUACAUGUCUCUGGCCCAUAUUCUCUCUACAGGGGACACGAUAGACCCAAGAAAGGCAUUGCCACCUUGGCAUCGAGGAACUUUAAAAUGUUUUGUUUAAUCUAUGGUGUUUUCUGAGAGAGAAAAAAUCUUGAUCAAAAGGGAAACACUGAAGAAAUAAAAUGGGGUCGCUAUAGUCAAGCUGCUAAAUUACUAAACUCAAGUAGGUGGAGGCACAAGGAAACGAUUCUGGUUUUGCUUUAACCAACCUGGGAGCUUAAACUUUUGAACUUUUCGGUCCUGAGUCAAUGACUGGAUGUACAUCAGACCUUCAGAUAACCCUCUGAUUACCCCCGAAGGGCUAAGGAAAGAGUAUUCACUAUCCAGACCACCUGACACCCAGUAUCCAGACCACCGGUCAUCUAGAGGAACCAUCUCGGUCCAAUCCAGAGGCUAAGAAGGCAGGACUGAUUCUUCUCAAGAAUGUACUUUUUACUCUAAGAACUCAGCUCUUCUCUCUUCUUUGGAACACUCUAGGUAUUGCCUAGUUGUGUUUCCAGUUUAUAAACCCUAAGACCCUUGAAUAAAUCUUUAUCAUUUAUUUCUA